ACUAAAUCUAGCCUUGGAAAAAAGUUACUAAAGGUUUCAAGCUAAUGUUCAUCCCCUUUGAAGUCACAUUGGUGGCUCAUUUCAAAUAUUAGUUGCAAGAAUAACUGGAAGAAUUAGAGCAUUAAUUUUGAUCUAUGAUUAAAGCCAAACACAUAAUUCUAUUUCCUGAAAUCAAGCCGUAAUCAUUUUUCUAACAUGUUGAAACAACCAUCAUCUUCCAUUAAUCCGUUCUGUUGUACUUAUCCUAUUCCGGGUCACAGGAUGAGAGGUGGGGCACACACUGGACAGGUUGUUAUGCUUUGGAAGGGCUAACAUAGAGACACAGAGACAUCAUGGACUGCAGGGGGAUGUCAAGUACCACAAAUACAACUGUCAGUGGUGAAACCGAAGAUAACAGGAUCACAGAGCUCCCCACAAAGCAGUGACACGCCCACCUGAAACUCUUGAUAUCAACAUAAAUUCAAACUGUCAUUUAUUCAUGUGUUCCUAUCGUCUACAACAUGGACAUUUUCAUAUAUGGUCACCUCACCUUUUUGAUAUUUCUGCUUUGGAUCAAAGGUCUAACUGAUGCCAAGGAUGUCAAACAAACUCCCAUGCUGUGGGAACAACAGGGUAAUAAUGCAACAAUGGACUGCAGCCAUACCAAGGAUGCUAACUAUAUCCAGAUGUACUGGUACAGACAGCUGCCAGGAGAAAAUAUGGAACUGAUUGUGUUCACAACAACAGCCAAAAAAUACGAUCACGACUUUGGAAAAUUCAGCAAAGAGAAAUACUCAGCCACAAAGACUGAGGUUCAUGAUGGGACAUUUACAGUGAAGGACCUGGAGCCAAAAGACAGCGGCUGGUAUUUCUGUGCCGUCAGUGAG
ensembl:lncRNA